GUUUGAUCCUGGCUCAGGACGAACGCUGGCGGCGUGCCUAACACAUGCAAGUCGAACGAAGUUUGUUGCUUCGCCAAGCAUUAAAGUACCACCUCAAGCGCAUUUGCGCAUGAAAAGAAAAUUUUGGUGUUUGGUGAAGAGACAAACUUAGUGGCGGACGGGUGAGUAACGCGUGAACAAUCUGCCCUGUACAAAGGAAUAGCCUCGGGAAACCGGGAUUAAAACCAUAUGACACUUUAAUACCGCAUGGUAAGAAAGUCAAAUAUUUAUAGGUAUGGGAUGAGUUCGCGUCUGAUUAGCUAGUUGGUAAGGUAAAGGCUUACCAAGGCGACGAUCAGUAGCCGGCCUGAGAGGGUGAACGGCCACACUGGAAUUGAGACACGGUCCAGACUCCUACGGGAGGCAGCAGUGGGGAAUAUUGCACAAUGGAGGAAACUCUGAUGCAGCGACGCCGCGUGAGUGAAGAAGGUCUUCGGAUCCGUAAAACUUCUGUCCUUUGGUGAAGAUAAUGACGGUAGCCAAGGAGGAAGCCCCGGCUAACUACGUGCCAGCAGCCGCGGUAAUACGUAGGGGGCGAGCGUUGUCCGGAUUUACUGGGCGUAAAGGGUGAGUAGGCGGUUAUAUAUGUCAGGUGUAAAAGGCUAUGGCUUAACCAUGGUUAGCACUUGAAACUGUAUGACUUGAGUGCAGGAGAGGUAAGUGGAAUUCCUAGUGUAGCGGUGAAAUGCGUAGAUAUUAGGAGGAACACCAGUGGCGAAGGCGACUUACUGGACUGUAACUGACGCUGAGUCACGAAAGCGUGGGUAGCAAACAGGAUUAGAUACCCUGGUAGUCCACGCUGUAAACGAUGAGUGCUAGGUGUUGGCCAGCGAUGGUCAGUGCCGGAGUUAACACAAUAAGCACCCCGCCUGGGGAGUACGUACGCAAGUAUGAAACUCAAAGGAAUUGACGGGGACCCGCACAAGCAGCGGAGCAUGGUGGUUUAAUUCGAAGCAACGCGAAGAACCUUACCAAGGCUUGAACAUCCCCUUGACAGGUACAGAAGAUGUACCAUCAAUUUUCGAAUGCAAGGGAGACAGGUGGUGCAUGGUUGUCGUCAGCUCGUGUCGUGAGAUGUUGGGUUAAGUCCCGCAACGAGCGCAACCCUUAUCCUUAGUUGCCAGCAAGUUAAGUUGGGCACUCUAGGGAGACUGCCGGUGAUAAACCGGAGGAAGGUGGGGAUGACGUCAAAUCAUCAUGCCCCUUAUGUCUUGGGCUACACACGUGCUACAAUGGUCGGUACAACGGGAAGCGAAGGAGCGAUCCGGAGCAAAUCCCAAUAAACCGAUCCCAGUUCGGAUUGCAGGCUGCAACUCGCCUGCAUGAAGUCGGAGUUGCUAGUAAUCGCGAAUCAG
rnacentral:rRNA from 1 species